rnacentral:rRNA from 1 species
AGUGAACGCUGGCGGUAGGCCUAACACAUGCAAGUCGAACGGCAGCACAGGAGAGCUUGCUCUCUGGGUGGCGAGUGGCGGACGGGUGAGGAAUACAUCGGAAUCUACUCUGUCGUGGGGGAUAACGUAGGGAAACUUACGCUAAUACCGCAUACGACCUACGGGUGAAAGCAGGGGACCUUCGGGCCUUGCGCGAUUGAAUGAGCCGAUGUCGGAUUAGCUAGUUGGCGGGGUAAAGGCCCACCAAGGCGACGAUCCGUAGCUGGUCUGAGAGGAUGAUCAGCCACACUGGAACUGAGAUACGGUCCAGACUCCUACGGGAGGCAGCAGUGGGGAAUAUUGGACAAUGGGCACAAGCCUGAUCCAGCCAUACCGCGUGGGUGAAGAAGGCCUUCGGGUUGUAAAGCCCUUUUGUUGGGAAAGAAAUCCAGCUGGCUAAUACCCGGUUGGGAUGACGGUACCCAAAGAAUAAGCACCGGCUAACUUCGUGCCAGCCGCCGCAGUAA